rnacentral:misc_RNA from 1 species
AUUUAUUCUCAGUCGAAAGCAAAUCACAUAAUAAAUUGGGAUUUACACUUUCUGUGUUCUAGCACGCCUUAAAGGGGUGAGAACCAUCCACUGCUAAGGCCACUGAAAUUGUAUCAUUGUAAAGACCUAGAGCACAAUGAAAAUCACUACCAAAAGGUUUUCAAAAUACCCAAAAACAAAUUAAGAACCCCUUCAGAAAAUAAAUAAAUAAAUAAAAUUAGCAGCAUAAUAAUUAGCCUAAUUAAAUCGAAUUAAAGAGUCUCCCAAAAGCUAGUCCCAAAGAAAAGAUUAUUUUCAUCUCGUGUGGCUUCACCAAGAUAGUCCUUCCCUUGAGUAGCUCCUUCAUCGAAAAGCCACUUCUCAACCAAUGAGAGUGGUGGCAUUUGAGCACUAAAAUUUGGUUUGCUUUCAUCUUGGAAAAGACUAGCCUCAUCAGGUGACAUGGUCUGAGAAAAAUCUGAAUUUGAAGAAUCAAAGGACUUAUCAAAACCAAAGUGUGAUUCAAAUGCUUCUUCUAAUUCAAUCCCAUUUUUGUCAGCUGUACUUGGAGUCCCUUCACUACAUAUAGAAUCAGUCGCAGCUAUG